UACGGGGGGGGCAAGCGUUGUUCGGAAUUACUGGGCGUAAAGGGCUCGUAGGCGGCCAACUAAGUCAGACGUGAAAUCCCUCGGCUUAACCGGGGAACUGCAUCUGAUACUGGAUGGCUUGAGAUUGGGAGAGGGAUGCGGAAUUCCAGGUGUAGCGGUGAAAUGCGUAGAUAUCUGGAGGAACACCGGUGGCGAAGGCGGCAUCCUGGACCGAGACUGACACUGAGGGACGAAAGCUAGGGGAGCGAAAGGG
rnacentral:rRNA from 1 species